rnacentral:lncRNA from 1 species
UAGUAAACAGUUCUCUUUUAAUAAAAUUGUUAAAUUUUAAUUACAAUCAUUUAUUAUGAGAUUAAUUUAUAUUUGAUACAAAGGAAAUGAUGUCAAAGUUUUAAUCCUUAAAAAAAAAGUAAAAAAAAAAGCCUUCCUCUAAAUUUUGCAAUUCUCUGAUGAAACAAUCUCUCUCCCUAUCCAUCUCACAGUUUACAUCAUUUACGCCAUACAUAUCCCAGAGUUAGAUCCUGAAAAGACUGUUCGUUGAAUACUAUAAAAUUGUUAGGACAUCAACACGGACGACCACAUAAUAUAAAGGUUAGUAACAAAUUAAUAACGCAUCCAAAUUUGCAUUCGAGUGGAGUUAUAUAUAUAUAUAUAUAUAUAUAUUAUCACUGUUUUCGUUACCGUAUGUGUUAAUUAAAACAUCUCUAGCUAGUUAAAGCAUAUAUACGGUUACACAAUGAUUUAGUAAUAACGUAGAAAUAAUUUAUAUACUGUAGUCUGUAGUAUAGUCUAGAGAUAAUGAACGGACUAAAAUUUAAGAAUAUAGCAGUUACGUGGCUGCAUCCGCAGGGAUGCCUCCCACGUGUCACCAUUUCGGCGUGGCAACGAGUCAUGUGGCGAUUUGGUGAGGCUCCACCACGAGUCGCUGAAGAAAGCUGUGCCCAAGCUUAACAAAGAGG